rnacentral:lncRNA from 1 species
ACUCAAGGCCGUUUAGGUUGACUUAUGUAGAGUUGACAGUUGGUAAGAUAGGUUUCCUAGAAGUUGUUUGUGAGGCUAUGUCAUUGUCUAAAUACGCAAACGGUGCACAUUAUUAGGGCCAGCGACUCUUGACAGAUUCAACAUUCCUCUCCCUUAUGUUUUGCUUUCAAAAAGUUUAGAAAAUUAAUAAUAGUGGCAAGUUCCUCUAU